rnacentral:rRNA from 1 species
UACGUAGGGUGCAAGCGUUGCCCGGAUUUAUUGGGCGUAAAGGGCGCGUAGGCGGCUCUGCACGUUCGUUGUGAAAUCGCCCGGCUCAACUGGGCGGGGUCAGCGGAUACGGCAGAGCUUGAGCAAGCUAGGGGGCAAUGGAAUUCCCGGUGUAGUGGUGGAAUGCGUAGAGAUCCGGAGGAACACCAGUGGCGAAGGCGACACGCUGGGCCGUACCUGACACUGAACCGCGACAGCAUGGGGAGCAAACAGG